CCACACGAGGGUUUUACUGUCUCUUACUUCCAAUCAGUGAAAUUGACCUUCCCGUGAAGAGGCGGGAAUAAAUAAAUAAGACGAGAAGACCCUAUGGAGCUUUAAUUAACUAACCCACAGAUAGCAAACCUCACUUCUAAGGAAAACAAAACAAUACCCUGAUGGGCUAGCAAUUUAGGUUGGGGUGACCUCGGAAUACAAAAAAACUUCCAAGUGAUUAAAAUCCAGACUAACAAGUCAAAAUUAACCACAUCAAGCAUUGAUCCAAUCUAUUUGAUCAACGGAACAAGUUACCCUAGGGAUAACAGCGCAAUCCUGUUUGAGAGUCCAUAUCGAUAACAGGGUUUACGACCUCGAUGUUGGAUCAGGACAUCCCAAUGGUGCAGAAGCUAUUAAUGGUUCGUUUGUUCAACGAUUAAAG
rnacentral:rRNA from 1 species